UAGUUAGUGUGGCAGCACCCGGUUAUGCAAAAGAUCUAAGCUCUUUUAACUAGGGGUUCAAAUCCCCUCACUAACU
rnacentral:tRNA from 1 species